UUACGGCUAUAUCAUGUUGAAAUACCAAUCCCCGUACGAUCAUGAAAGUUAAGCAACGUCAAGCAUGGUCAGUACCUGGAUGGGUGACCUCUUGCAAAUACCAGGUACU